GAAGGGAAAACAACGCAGGUGUGUUCAAGGGAGGGAGUCGUGCGGUGUUUGUUUGGUUAGCACCUGGCCCACAAGAAAACAAGGUGAUUGCUGGAUCAAAGAAGGGUUUGGCUGCCCACACACUUCAUGUUUUGACCCAAGCUGUUACCGAGGCCUUCAUCCACAGUUGGCAGAUCACUCUCCUCAUCGUGGCAUGUGUGCCCUUUCUCUCUAAAGCCAACUUUAUUCAAAUGAGGGCAGCAUCAGAAAUCUCCUUAGAGGACCAGGAGGUUGGAAAGAGCAGAUGUCCGUCUGCACUGUGAGCUGCCAAGUGGGUCCGAAGCGGGCGGCCACAGACACAAGGGCCCAAAUGGUGUGACAAAAGAUGUGCAGGAAGCCCCUCUCCGCCUGGGUGAGCCACAGAGAGGGUCUCCUCUCUCUGCCAGCCUGCAUGGACACUCUCAACACGAGCCAGAGUGGAGGCAGCAAAGCCAUGUGUUGCCGGCUGGGAUGCAUGGAUCGGGCCUUUGCUGCUGGUAUCAGUAAAGUUUCCCAUUGAAGAGGAAAUCAGAAGAAACCAACAUUGAAAUGAGGGAUAAGAGGCUCCUGUGUGUCAAGAGCUGAAGGAGCUGUUUUUGUCUUGCAUGACUUUAUAGCCGUUUGAAUGAAUUACUUUAAGGGACAACAAAGUAAUAGUGACAGCACUCACAUUGUGCAGCUAAUGAAUAUAGUUAUCUAAUAUAAAGGACUUACCUCUCUUAAAUUAUUGUCUACAUAACUGAUAUCUGUCCCUAGACGAAUGAAAUCUGAAAAUGGAAGAUGUUUUGUUUUUAAUUCAGGAAAAUUCAAGACUCAUAUUGCUGUUUUUUCAUGAUCUCAACUUUCAAAUCAAAAUUGUUUCUUAUUUUUGAGGACAUU